GAAAGUGGGGGAUGUUGGGAUGGCUCAAUCAUAUCAAAUCUCCCAAACUAUGAUGUUGGGUCGUUUAAUCUGAUUGAGCCGUGCCAAUAUCACACUAACUAUA
rfam:Populus trichocarpa scaffold_15_contig_157, whole genome shotgun sequence.